rnacentral:rRNA from 1 species
UGGGGAAUAUUGGACAAUGGGCGCAAGCCUGAUCCAGCCAUGCCGCGUGAGUGAGGAAGGCCCUAGGGUUGUAAAGCUCUUUCACCGGUGAAGAUAAUGACGGUAACCGGAGAAGAAGCCCCGGCUAACUUCGUGCCAGCAGCCGCGGUAAUACGAAGGGGGCUAGCGUUGUUCGGAUUUACUGGGCGUAAAGCGCACGUAGGCGGACUAUUAAGUCAGGGGUGAAAUCCCGGGGCUCAACCCCGGAACUGCCUUUGUUACUGGUAGUCUUGAGUUCGAGAGAGGUGAGUGGAAUUCCGAGUGUAGAGGUGAAAUUCGUAGAUAUUCGGAGGAACACCAGUGGCGAAGGCGGCUCACUGGCUCGAUACUGACGCUGAGGUGCGAAAGCGUGGGGAGCAAACAGG